UUUGAGGGCAACCCGUCCCAAUUCACUCUUCCCUUCCCUUGCAUUAGCUCUUCCUGCGCGGGCUCCAUCGACCUGUCACAGACGUCAGUGAGAUUGACUGCCAGGGCAGAUGCGCAGCUAUAACAGGCCACCUCUUGGCUGAAGAGAGAGACGGAGAGAGAGAAGAAAAUCUGUGAGAGUGGUGCCCAGCAGAGUCUCUUGCAAGCAUGGACAGAUCACCUCAUCCCCCUACUGAUCGAUGGAAGUGCUGUUGUCUGCCCAUCACUUGUGCUGUGCCAGGUCACAGACCGCGGGGACAAAAGGUUCAAGGCAGGCUCAGAUCCUUCCUGCUUUGGCCACGAUUUGGGACAGGAAUCAGACGGCAGCCACUUGUUACACCCUGUGUGACCCUCUUUGUCCUGCACCUGUGUGCAGUCCUCACCCCCCAAUGGGGCAAGAAAACAGAACGAGAGUCAGGUUAGAGGUCAUGGGUUGAAGCAAUGUGAAGAGGAAGUUGUUGUUUUUUUCAAAACAGCAAGAUGCUUAUCACUCUCACCUGAUUUGACAGCCGUCUGUCAGUCAAGGAAUUUAAAUGCUUGUUUUGCCUCAACACUUUCAACGCUCUUAAUAUGAUGCUCUAAUGCUGUGUAGGGAAGUGAAUGGAAAGACUCUUGGUCGAUCAGUGUCCAGAAAAAUCAACAUAAUGGCUAAAGUGAUUCGUUGAGGUGAACAGUGUAAGAGUGUGUUAAAUCAUGGACAUUUUGGCCUUUGUGGUAGACUGCAAGUAUACAUCUUUUGAGGAAAAAAGCUAAGGCAACAGCUAACCUUGAUCUCCUUUGAUUUAAGUGGCCAGACAUGCUGCAGUUGACAUUUGGUCUGAGUUAAUAGGGAUUCCUGGACAGUUAUAAUGUAU